UGGGGAAUAUUGCACAAUGGAGGGAACUCUGAUGCAGCGACGCCGCGUGAACGAAGAAGGCUUUCGAGUCGUAAAGUUCUUUUAUAUGGGAAGAUAAUGACGGUACCAUAAGAAAAAGCUCCGGCUAACUACGUGCCAGCAGCCGCGGUAAUACGUAGGGGGCUAGCGUUGUCCGGAAUCACUGGGCGUAAAGGGUUCGCAGGCGGAAAUGCAAGUCAGGUGUAAAAGGCAGUAGCUUAACUACUGUAAGCAUUUGAAACUGCAUAUCUUGAGAAGAGUAGAGGUAAGUGGAAUUUUUAGUGUAGCGGUGAAAUGCGUAGAUAUUAAAAAGAAUACCGGUGGCGAAGGCGACUUACUGGGUUCAUUCUGACGCUGAGGAACGAAAGCGUGGGUAGCAAACAGG
rnacentral:rRNA from 1 species